rnacentral:ncRNA from 1 species
GAAAAGACAUUGAAGGAGCCUAGUAGUCUUCAUGGUUACAACUCAGAGAGCAGACCGGUUGCUGAGAGGCCUGCAGUACAUGAAUAGAUGAAAUUACACCUCCGGAGUUUCGAAGCAAAACUUCGACGGUUUCCCAUCCGUUAUCAUGGUUAGAGGCAUUUUAUAAUGCGAAUUAAGGUGGUACCACGGGUCUGCUCGUCCUUAUG